UUUGCUGACGAGUGGCGGACGGGUGAGUAAUGUCUGGGAAACUGCCUGAUGGAGGGGGAUAACUACUGGAAACGGUGGCUAAUACCGCAUAACGUCGCAAGACCAAAGAGGGGGACCUUCGGGCCUCUUGCCAUCAGAUGUGCCCAGAUGGGAUUAGCUUGUUGGUGAGGUAACGGCUCACCAAGGCGACGAUCCCUAGCUGGUCUGAGAGGAUGACCAGCCACACUGGAACUGAGACACGGUCCAGACUCCUACGGGAGGCAGCAGUGGGGAAUAUUGCACAAUGGGCGCAAGCCUGAUGCAGCCAUGCCGCGUGUAUGAAGAAGGCCUUCGGGUUGUAAAGUACUUUCAGCGGGGAGGAAGGUGUUGUGGUUAAUAACCGCAGCAAUUGACGUUACCCGCAGAAGAAGCACCGGCUAACUCCGUGCCAGCAGCCGCGGUAAUACGGAGGGUGCAAGCGUUAAUCGGAAUUACUGGGCGUAAAGCGCACGCAGGCGGUCUGUCAAGUCGGAUGUGAAAUCCCCGGGCUCAACCUGGGAACUGCAUUCGAAACUGGCAGGCUUGAGUCUUGUAGAGGGGGGUAGAAUUCCAGGUGUAGCGGUGAAAUGCGUAGAGAUCUGGAGGAAUACCGGUGGCGAAGGCGGCCCCCUGGACAAAGACUGACGCUCAGGUGCGAAAGCGUGGGGAGCAAACAGGAUUAGAUACCCUGGUAGUCCACGCCGUAAACGAUGUCUACUUGGAGGUUGUGCCCUUGAGGCGUGGCUUCCGGAGCUAACGCGUUAAGUAGACCGCCUGGGGAGUACGGCCGCAAGGUUAAAACUCAAAUGAAUUGACGGGGGCCCGCACAAGCGGUGGAGCAUGUGGUUUAAUUCGAUGCAACGCGAAGAACCUUACCUGGUCUUGACAUCCACAGAAGAAUCCAGAGAUGGAUUUGUGCCUUCGGGAACUGUGAGACAGGUGCUGCAUGGCUGUCGUCAGCUCGUGUUGUGAAAUGUUGGGUUAAGUCCCGCAACGAGCGCAACCCUUAUCCUUUGUUGCCAGCGGUUAGGCCGGGAACUCAAAGGAGACUGCCAGUGAUAAACUGGAGGAAGGUGGGGAUGACGUCAAGUCAUCAUGGCCCUUACGACCAGGGCUACACACGUGCUACAAUGGCGCAUACAAAGAGAAGCGACCUCGCGAGAGCAAGCGGACCUCAUAAAGUGCGUCGUAGUCCGGAUUGGAGUCUGCAACUCGACUCCAUGAAGUCGGAAUCGCUAGUAAUCGUGGAUCAGAAUGCCACGGUGAAUACGUUCCCGGGCCUUGUACACACCGCCCGUCACACCAUGGGAGUGGGUUGCAAAAGAAGUAGGUAGCUUAACCUUCGGGAGGGCGCUUACCACUUUGUGAUUCAUGACUGGGGUGAAGUCGUAACAAGGUAACCGUAGGGGAACCUGCGGUUGGAUCACCUCCUUACCUUAAAGAAGC
rnacentral:rRNA from 1 species